AUUGAACGCUGGCGGCAGGCCUAACACAUGCAAGUCGGACGGUAGCACAGAGGAACUUGCUCCUCGGGUGACGAGUGGCGGACGGGUGAGUAAUGUCUGGGAAACUGCCUGAUGGAGGGGGAUAACUACUGGAAACGGUAGCUAAUACCGCAUAACGUCGCAAGACCAAAGAGGGGGACCUUCGAGCCUCUUGCCAUCAGAUGUGCCCAGAUGGGAUUAGCUAGUAGGUGGGGUAACGGCUCACCUAGGCGACGAUCCCUAGCUGGUCUGAGAGGAUGACCAGCCACACUGGAACUGAGACACGGUCCAGACUCCUACGGGAGGCAGCAGUGGGGAAUAUUGCACAAUGGGCGCAAGCCUGAUGCAGCCAUGCCGCGUGUAUGAAGAAGGCCUUCGGGUUGUAAAGUACUUUCAGCGGGGAGGAAGGUGUUGUGGUUAAUAACCGCAGCAAUUGACGUUACCCGCAGAAGAAGCACCGGCUAACUACGUGCCAGCAGCCGCCGUAA
rnacentral:rRNA from 1 species